rnacentral:tRNA from 1 species
GGCGCGAUGUCCGAGUGGUUAAGGAGAUUGAUUAGAAAUCAUAAUAACGUAUCAAUUAGGUUUCACCUGCGCAGGUUCGAAUCCUGUUCGCGUCG